AGUUCUCUAAGAUAUGCGUGCAUCUUUUAAAUGUGCUGACCGAACAACUACUAUCUAGGGAUCUGCGAGCUCCAAUGGAUGUUACGCCUCUAUUACGUGGACAACUGAAGUUGGAUACCGGAACCCACCUGCUAUAUCGCGGGUUCAGACAGAUAGAAUUUCCACGGUAUCAUUGGAGGCUUA
rfam:Aerococcus urinae ACS-120-V-Col10a, complete genome.